UAGAUUUGAAUUUUUUUGAAGAUUGAUGAUGUGAUCAGGCUUUGACAUUUGGUAUUUGUUCCUGUGCAUCCUGUUACUUCGCAAUUUUUGUGCUUGCACUGCAAUCUGAAUAUUGUCAGGCUUUGAUAGAGGGGUGCUUUGAGAAGACGAGUGUUGCAAUCUGUCUCUGCCAUUUUGUUGCGGGUUUCGUCAGCUUUGCACGCAACUCUCUCCUAAAUUCCUUUGCUUGCAGCUAUUUGGUCUUACAAAGCAGCGAAUUCUUCAAUUCAGUUUUUCUUCCCUAAUGACUCUUUUGUCUUUGUCAAAACUAUUGUUGUACUCAAAUUUGGAUCUUUUGAAAGCUCAUGAAUGGUCCUCUCUUUUGGUGUUCUCGG
rnacentral:lncRNA from 1 species